rnacentral:misc_RNA from 1 species
UCCGAGUUGACCCCGGCAGUCUCUCACGAGUCCCCACCAUUACGUGCUGGCAACAUGAGACAAGGGUUGCGCUCGUUGCGGGACUUAACCCAACAUCUCACGACACGAGCUGACGACAGCCAUGCAGCACCUGUGUUCCGAUUCCCUUUCGGGCACACCCACCUCUCAGCGGGCUCUCGGACAUGUCAAGGGUAGGUAAGGUUUUUCGCGUUGCAUCGAAUUAAACCACA